rnacentral:rRNA from 1 species
UACGGGGGGGGCAAGCGUUGUUCGGAAUUACUGGGCGUAAAGGGUUUGUAGGUGGCUUGCUAAGUCAGACGUGAAAUCCCUCAGCUUAACUGGGGAACUGCGUCUGAUACUGGCGAGCUUGAGUGCAGGAGAGGAACGCGGAAUUCCAGGUGUAGCGGUGAAAUGCGUAGAUAUCUGGAGGAACACCGGUGGCGAAGGCGGCGUCCUGGACCAACACUGACACUGAUGAGCGAAAGCCAGGGGAGCAAACGGG